GCCAGUAUAGUGUAGUGGUUUGAGUAUUGGACUAGGAUUUCAGGAGACCAGGGUUCAAAUCCCUGCUCAGCCA